rnacentral:tRNA from 1 species
GUGUAGUUAGGAGAGGUUGUGCUGCCACUUUUCAGGUAGCAUGCGGUACGAUAGAAGCCACCGAAUGCCGGUGCUAUAAUCCGCCACUUCAUA